UCAGGUGGCUGGAUGGUCGCUGUCGGCUCGCCGGCAGAGGAAAGUCCGGGCUCCAUGGAAAUACGGUGCCGGGUAACGCCCGGCGAGGGAAACCUCAGGGAAAGUGCCACAGAAAGCAAACCGCCCCGCAUGCGGGGUAAGGGUGAAAGGGUGCGGUAAGAGCGCACCGCAGAUCCAGUAAUGGCUCUGGCAUGGUAAACCCCACCGGGAGCAAGACCAAGUAGGGACGACAGGCUUUGCCAGGCAUAUUUCCAUGCCGUCGUCCGGGUAGGUUGCAUGAGGCCGCCAGUAAUGGCGGUCCUAGAUGAAUGACCAUCACGCUUAGCGCACAGAACCCGGCUUAUAGGCCACCUGACAUC
rnacentral:RNase_P_RNA from 2 species